GUCACGCUGUAAACGAUGUCGAUUUGGAGUUUGGGGGCAUGACCCUUGGGCUCCGGAGCUAACGCGUUAAAUCGACCGCGUGGGGAGUACGGCCGCAAGGUUAAAACUCAAAUGAAUUGACGGGGGCCCGCACAAGCGGUGGAGCAUGUGGUUUAAUUCGAUGCAACGCGAAGAACCUUACCUGGUCUUGACAUCCAUAGAAUCUUGUAGAGAUACGAGAGUGCCUUCGGGAGCUAUGAGACAGGUGCUGCAUGGCUGUCGUCAGCUCGUGUUGUGAAAUGUUGGGUUAAGUCCCGCAACGAGCGCAACCCUUAUCCUUUGUUGCCAGCGGGUAAAGCCGGGAACUCAAAGGAGACUGCCGUUGAUAAAGCGGAGGAAGGUGGGGACGACGUCAAGUCAUCAUGGCCCUUACGACCAGGGCUACACACGUGCUACAAUGGCGUAUACAAAGGGAAGCGAAGGUGCGAACUGGAGCGGACCUCCUAAAGUACGUCUAAGUCCGGAUUGGAGUCUGCAACUCGACUCCAUGAAGUCGGAAUCGCUAGUAAUCGUGAAUCAGAAUGUCACGGUGAAUACGUUCCCGGGCCUUGUACACACCGCCCGUCACACCAUGGGAGUGGGUUGCACCAGAAGUAGAUAGCUUAACCGCAAGGGGGGCGUUUACCACGGUGUGAUUCAUGACUGGGGUGAAGUCGUAACAAGGUAACCA
rnacentral:rRNA from 1 species